CACCUGUUCCCAUCCCGAACACAGAAGUUAAGCUCUGCAGAGCCGAUGGUACUUGGACCGCAGGGUCCUGGGAGAGUAGGACGUCGCUAGGC
rnacentral:rRNA from 1 species